AUUCUUCGAAGAUUCUUAUCGAGAAAUCUUCUGAGAAAAUUCGCGCCGCUUUCGUGAACGAUGAGUCGAAAGUUUUUGCGGCCAGUCUCAAAAAAUCAAAGAGAGAAAAAUAAAAGAGAGAGAGAGAGAUAGAGAGAGAGAGAGAUCACAAGAGAAAGAGAGUAUUCUGUACAAUGUUUCCACGAUCCGAGCCUCAAUUCGAUGGAAAACAAGAAAUUAAUCCGGAUGAAUAUUCGAUUCAGAUGGAUAUUACUCACGCAUCACACUUUCACGUGUAAUUAAUAUUUAUGCGAUCGACGCGAAUAAGAUUAAUUAAAAUUCGCGCGAAAUGCUCGAUGUUACUAUAAAGAGAAGGCAAGUUGAUCAGGUUGCGAAUUCAUUAAACGUAACGAUGAUUAAAAGUCGCGUGACGUUGCUCGAGGCGUUCAUUUCGCGAAAAACCGAAGGUGCUUCACUUUAUUUUAAGUCGAACGUGAAAUGUGGAAAUAAUAUUUCAUGUCGUGGAGUGGUGUUUAAAAGAGGUUUACUAACACACUUUGGAAUUUGUCUCCAUUAAAGUUAUUUAAUAUGUUUAUGAAUAUUUAAAGUAAAAUAUAUUUCUUGAGAAAAUAGACGCAAUGAGAGAAAUGUGAAAGGUAGAAUUAAUUGAUCAUCAGAAAAAAAAUAAGAAGCUGACGGAAACCUUGCAUUCCAUCUUUCGAUCGCAGAUAAUAUUCUUCCGGCAAAAGUCGCGCGCCGGUUCCUGACUAACUGCCAUAGAUGAUGAAGACACGAAUUCUACUACUGAAGCAAACUUACUGAAUGGUAUUACUACUCUUCACGGCGGGAGGGCCGAGUCAGGCUUACUUUACACCGUCAGAUCUUAAUUUAAUGCUUGAAACCCGCUACGACAUCGAUGCCUCUCUUUCGACUCGUGUCCCACUGCGAUCCGUUCCUUAGAAAUCCAACAAGCUCAAUGGCUGCCGGGGGUAACUGAGUUAUUUCAUCAUACCGUAUAUCGGAUAAAGUAAAUGUAUGCAUGCGAUUGUGAGAAGAGAAGAAGAUGGGUAUCUUCAGAAGCUAGAUAUAAUUAUACUGUCUGAUCGUAACAUUUCAUAUGUUCGUUGCUUAAUUAAAAAACUUACUAAUUUUAAAUAUAAAUAUAAUUAAAUGUAAAUUGUUUUUAAUGAAAAUUCUUAUAACAUAUAUUUUUAAUUAUUAAAUAAAUUUAUAAAUGAAAAUUUAAUAACAGUAAUAUGUAUGUAUCAUUUCUACAUUUAUAUGUUAUAUAAAUGUAUAAGAAUUUAAUGUUAAAAUUAUGGAAUAUUGAUAAUUUAAUUUUGGAAAUAAAGCACGUUCGUUUAUAUAGAGAUUUUGUAACAUAAAAAUGUAAACUCAAGAAUGAAAAAAA